GCCGUUGAAGGGCAUGGCGCAGGGCGGUGCACAGCGCAAACACUUCCCGCAGCACGCUGCUGCCGGGACCCCGCGCACGAGGUUCCGGGAUACUAAAUGGCCCACCCUGCUCCAGCUCCUGCCCCCGCUAAUCCUGGCAGAGAGAAGGCACAAGCAGUGGGAAUGGAAGAGGGAGAAGCAGACUCCCCGAGGAGCAGGGAGCCUGAUGCAGGGCUUGAUCGUGGGACCUGGGGAUCAUGACCUGAGCCGAAGUUGCUCUAUGCCCAACAUGGGGUUUGAACUCACGAUCCUGAGAUCAAGAAUUGCAUGCUGUACCAGCUGAGCCAGCCAGGUAUCCCCAGUCAGCAAGAAACUGAGGGCAUCAGUUCUACAACCCACAAAGAACUGCAUUCUGCCAACAACUGUGUGAGCAUGAAAGCACAUCAGUCCCCAGUCAAACCUUGAGAUGAGAACACGGCUCCAAGUGACACCUUGACCGCAGCCUGUGAGAGACCCCAAAGCAGAGGACCCGAUAGGCUGCAUGUGGACUCUCAACCUAGAGAUUUUGAGAUAAGAAAUGUGCUGUUUUCAGCCACGAAGUUUGUUAUGCAGCAAUAGAUAACUGAUGCAGGUAUUAUGCAGCUAUGAGAAGCAUGAUGCCAUUUUAUAUGUUCUGAUAAUGGAAUGAACUCCAAAAUACACUAAGGGGAUAAAGAAGGCAAGGCCAUAACAGUGAGUAUAAUGGUAUCAUUUGUGUGUAUAUAAACACUUGUCUGUGCAUAGAGUAUGUCUGGUAUCUCUGGAAUGAUACACAAGAUGUUGAUAGCAAUGGUUGCCCUCCUGGUAGGGGAACUCGGUGGCUGCGGACCUUCUGAAUUUUGCUCCAUAUACAUGAAAUGUAAUUCAGCAAAUUUUAAACCCUUUUGUUCCCAUUGUAGUUAAAAUAGAAUUUAAUUCCUUACAAUGGCCUAAAAGACCCUACAUGACUUGGACCUUGCCUACUUCUCCAACUUCAACGCAUGCUACUCUUUCUGGCUUUCAUGACCCUCCAGCCACUAGAAUAUAAAUUCCUUGAAAGCAGGAAUAUGUCUCUCAUUUACUUUUUGAUCUCUAGCACCUAGCACAGUACAAAACAGUAGGAAUUCAGUGAAUUCUUUUUAACGAAUGAAUUUGAUUCCCUCACAGAAUACUUGGCACCCAACAGAAGGGGACACAAAUAUGGGAUUUUCCCUUGGUGGAUCACUUGAAGGGCUGUCAUAAAUGGGAGUAGAACCUCAUUAUGUACUGCUCCAGAGACUAACUGGUAAAAGGCAGAGGAAGAAAAAUAUUAAUUCAGCACUAACUGCCCUACGAAACAUGGGAGGGGCUGUUUUACAAAGCGGUGAACACCUCCACACUGCCUAUUUAUUCUGUCAUCAAAACUGUAAAAAAUGACUGUGGCCUGAGUGAUCUUCUGAGAGCCUUUCUAGGAUUCUAAAGUUCUGUGAUUCUGUACAUAGGUGUAUUUUGGGUCCUGUCCUUUUCAUAGUUGUUUUAUGUAUACGAGCAUAUUGUUUUUAUUUCCGACUCCUGAGACCAAAACAAAAAACUGGUACAUUUAUUGACCUUUCUAUAAAACGAGGAUGCUGCAAAUGGGACUUCAUCGAGAGAUACUAAUGGCUGUAAUGAUUCAAGCUUUUGAGGUUUAUAAGUCUGUUCUAAUCUCGGCUGCCAUUAGCAGAGUAGCCUGCUUCUUUGAAGCACGAGAAAGGGGAGAGAGGGGUCACAAGAUUUGCUUUUUACCACAAUCAUGCUGGAAAUGUAAUUUCAUCAAACUACUCAAGAGUAAAACAUCUUUUUCAAAGGCCGUAUGUUGCUGGAAUGCUUUUCUGUCCCAUUAACUGCAAACAGCCACCUGAGCUACACGUAGGGGGCAUCUCUCUGGCACUGAAGUGCUUCCUUCGCAAGGAGCAGCUUUUGGGCGGGAGUCAUGAACAAGGAAAGCCGCGCCAGUUUUAGGCUGGAAAGGCAGCGCCUCUUCCCCGUAGCUCCCUUCCGGUUCUGGCUCUACCCCCCUGCCUGGGGAAAGACACUGACCAAGAAUACCAAGUCCCUCCCACCUUUCUUUUUUUUUACCUUGUUAACUAAAUUAAAGAGCAGGUAAAAAAUGAGUUAUUUUUGGGCGCCUGGGUGGCUCAGUCGGUUAAGCAACUGCCUUCGGCUCAGGUCAUGAUCCUGGAGUCCCGGGAUCGAGUCCCGCAUCGGACUCCCUGCUCGGUGGGGAGUCUGCUUCUCCCUCUGACCCUCUCAUGCUCUAUCUCAUUCUCUGUCUCGAAUAAAUAAAUAAAAUCUUUAAAAAAAAAAAAAAGAGUUAUUUUUAUAUCUUAUUUAAAUUUUGAUAGUAACCUUAGCUUGUUCUUGACAUUGCUUAAUUCUAGAUUUCAGAACAUUUGGAAGCAGCACUUUGGUUUAUUUACCAACUGCUGAAACCUAGGAAUUUUGUUCUUGAAAACGGGCCACAGCUCACAAAGUCUAAAUACAUGAAUACGACGUGUCGUACUUGGGAGUCAUGGGUUGUCGGCAGGAAGUCUGGGUUCUAGUCUGUGUUGGCACCAACAAGCCAUUCCUGUCUCUGGAGCCAUUUCCCUCCUGACCUGAUAACACAAGAGGUUAAGUUGCUUUAAAGAGAAUAUAUUUGGACUUUGAACUUUUUGGUUAAACAAAAAUUUAUGUGAAGCCCAAUAUAUGAAAUAGAUCAAAGCAUAUUUGCUUUGGUAAAAGAUGGGACAGGGCUCAGAGCCUCUGAGGCAACUCUCAAGAACAUCCCAGGCUCUGCAGAAUAUUCUGGAAAUCUCUGCACCAGAUAAGCUCUUCUGACUUCACAGAACCACCUACAAAGUACAAUUAAAUUUGGCCUCGUAGAGAUGCGUCCAAAUUUAACUUCUGGUUUGUUUUUUUUUUUUUGGCUUGCACACCAAUUGGCCAAGAUGGGAACUUCACUGAGUCUCUUCUGUUAAUGUUGGUAUUAGUAAACACCUGGAUUUUAAUCAUGGCCUGUGUGGUCAUGAUUCAUUCAACUGUGUCAAACACUGGGGCUAUUAAGGGCAAGUGUGGUUUCUGCUCUCAAACUGCUAGUGUGUCCUGGGGAAUACAUAAACAAGUAAAUGGUAGAAGGAGACUCCCCAGCAUGGGAGCACCCAUGGUGAGGGUACUCAAUUCUGGGGGAGGGGGAGAGACUGGAGAGGGAGAGGAAAGGAUUCAUAAAAAUAUCAAGUGAUAUUUAUUGAACAUUCAUGUGUCAGGCGGGGUUCUAAUUUUUUUGGUGAUCAUUUUAGAGACAAGGACAUAGAGGCAAAGGACGGCUAAAUAACUUGGCUACAGAUAGAAAAUGACGGAGGCAGGA